rnacentral:rRNA from 1 species
AAACGACUCUCGGCAACGGAUAUCUCGGCUCACGCAUCGAUGAAGAACGUAGCAAAAUGCGAUACUUGGUGUGAAUUGCAGAAUCCCGUGAACCAUCGAGUUUUUGAACGCAAGUUGCGCCCAAAGCCAUCCGGGUUGAGGGCACGCCUGCCUGGGCGUCAC